rnacentral:lncRNA from 1 species
UUUUAUGAUAGGCAUGUGUUUGUUAUUCCGGUGAAUGUGUUAUGGGGAAGUGGUUAGUGUUCCCUUAGGUGGUUGGAGAGGCUGAGGUGACAAGGCAAACUGGAGCGGAGGGGAACACUGAAACUGCCGGCUUAGGGGGUCCCUAGGGUUAGGCACUGUCAAUAUAUAUACACAGAGACAUGUGUGGAGAGAGAGAGAGAGAGAGAGAGUGUGUCUUAUAUUACUGACAAAGAAAAACAAAGACAAAGACAAGAAAGAUGAUGUGAGGAAGGAAGGGUGGUGGUGUGAAGUUGAACAAGGUCCAUGGGGCAAGCGUCCUAUCAAGAAGCAAUGUGCACUGCAAUUGGGGUUUGGUCUCUUCUGGUUUAUGUUUGCACGUGAUGGCUAUGCCACCUCCUCUUUCUUUCAAAAGCUAAAGCUUCAUGUGUUGGGGCCCGAGGGAUGGUGGAGUAGGACCUGGGAUUGAAUGGGUGGCUUCGUGGAAAGGGGGGUUUACAAUUUACAAUGCUCUUUUUAAGUUUUGGCCUUUCUUC